CAGCAGCCGCGGGAAUACGUAUGUCACAAGCGUUAUCCGGAUUUAUUGGGCGUAAAGCGCGUCUAGGUGGUUAUGUAAGUCUGAUGUGAAAACGCAGGGCUCAACUCUGUAUUGCGUUGGAAACUGUGUAACUAGAGUACUGGAGAGGUAAGCGGAACUACAAGUGUAGAGGUGAAAUUCGUAGAUAUUUGUAGGAAUGCCGAUGGGGAAGCCAGCUUACUGGACAGAUACUGACGCUCAUGCACGAAAGCGUGGGGAGCAAACAGGAUUAGAUACCCCUGUAGUCCCUGUCUCUUAUACC
rnacentral:rRNA from 1 species